rnacentral:rRNA from 1 species
AGUGAACGCUGGCGGUAGGCCUAACACAUGCAAGUCGAACGGCAGCACAGUAAGAGCUUGCUCUUACGGGUGGCGAGUGGCGGACGGGUGAGGAAUACAUCGGAAUCUACUUUUUCGUGGGGGAUAACGUAGGGAAACUUACGCUAAUACCGCAUACGACCUACGGGUGAAAGCAGGGGAUCUUCGGACCUUGCGCGAUUGAAUGAGCCGAUGUCGGAUUAGCUAGUUGGCGGGGUAAAGGCCCACCAAGGCGACGAUCCGUAGCUGGUCUGAGAGGAUGGUUAGGCACACUGGAACUGAGACACGGUCCAGACUCCUACGGGAGGCAGCAGUGGGGAAUAUUGGACAAUGGGCGCAAGCCUGAUCCAGCCAUACCGCGUGGGUGAAGAAGGCCUUCGGGUUGUAAAGCCCUUUUGUUGGGAAAGAAAAGCAGCAGGUUAAUACCCCGCUGUUCUGACGGUACCCAAAGAAUAAGCACCGGCUAACUUCGUG